UUGCAUGGGAGGCGUGAGCGUCCGUCCGCAGUCGGGACGGCACAGUUCCCUUUCCUGGGGUUCACUGGGUGUGGGGCCACUGGCUUUCUUGUGUGCUCGUUCCUCAGAACUAAGCCACUUUCUCAAGGUUCGGGAGCUGCAAUAUCACUCUUGCAGUCUGUGCGGGGUAGUGAGCUGGAGUGUUCAAGGUGGGGGGCAUUCUAAACCGGCCUUCUCCUCACUAGUGCUUUAAAACUCUGGGGGGGAGAGCAUUCAUCCACGGUCCCCGUGUGUGCGACAGGGCGCCAAUGUCACCUUUCCAAACUGUGUGUGUUCCUUGGGGUAAAUAUGAAGAAUUUCGGGGUUCUUUUGUGUUUUUUUUGUUUUUGUUCUGCUCUAGACAGUCUUAGUAUCCAGUCCUUUGGGAAGAACCAUCUUAGCCAUGGUUUAGUGACAGAGGGACAUCAGGGGCACUCAGAGGCCCCAGGAAUGGGGAGAAACAUUUCAGUGGCACCAAGUACCCAUUUUGGAUGGGUUCUGUCCUGUGAUCCUCUUUAUUGAAGCUGGGGGCUCCGGUUCUUGCCUUUGCCUGGGUGACCACCCUUGAUGAAGGGCAUACAGGGAACCUACUUACUCCAUCAUGUCACCUUAGUGACAUUGUAGGAAACGGAUCUAGAACAGUGAUGAGGAGCUCAGCCUGUUUAGGUUUGAGAGGUAUUCUGUGUAAGUUCAGGACUUCGUGGUGAGAGCCGGAUUCAGUCCAGUCUCUCGCCCUGGCCUCUGCGUGCCCUUGUGUCAGUUGCACAUGUUUGGGGAGGGGGAUGAAUAAGGACAUGGAGAGUGUAACCCUGAGAGACAGUGAGUAGCCCAGCCUAGGACUGAGAAGAUGGGGGAGGGGGGCAUUUAACGAACACCCCCACUGUGGUUUCUGUGAAGAAGAGAAAAGGAGAUGAUGAAAAUCAUGUAUUUGAAGUACGUAGAUGGAGACAUGCUAUUACUAUGCUAAAGAUACCAUCAUUUGUCUGAUUAGCAAUAGAAGAAACUCUGAUUUUAAAGAGCACAACAGUUUAUAAGCUCAGUCAGGAAAAGACAAAACAGCCUCAGAAGACUCUUCUUUGAGGUAAAACGGAGUUGGCUCACUGCAUCACAUUAUAAUCAGGCACAACAGGCUCUGCGCCUCACAGAGCUCUGAAAUUUGUUUUAGCUCCAGAAAAAGAAAGGAAAAAGAAAAAAGUAAAGCUUUCGGUCGCAGGAAAGCAGUACAAGAAAGCUCGAGCACAGUUACAGUUGGUGCGCUUCCUGAUGAAAAAGAUGAAUUAUUAUGAAAAAAGAAAUUCACGCAGGGUCUCGUAUACCCCGAGUUGACCUCCUAGUGAACGAAGGUUUUGGUCACUAAUCUUCGGCUGCGACAGUCUCUUGCACACAGCAUGUUGUGGCUGAACAGACAUGCCACCUGUGGUUCACACUUCCGGGCUCUUUGGCCUCCUCCUUGCCAGGCCUUGAUCUGUUCCUUCCCUCCUUCUUUCCAGAAACAUUCCCUGAAUCCUUCCUGUGUGUUUUUGCACAUCACCUUAUUUAAUCCUGCCGGCUUCACGAAGCAGGUACUGUCGUCAUCGUCACCCCGAUCUUGCAGAUGAGGACGUACACUGGGAGAGUCUCAGCGGCUCAUCCUAAGAUCAGACCCAGAAUGUAAGCUUGGUGUGUGCCUGGUUCUCAGCCGCGUUCCUGUCCUGCCUCCUCAUGAGUCACAGGGAGGGGAUAGAACACGUCCAGGGAAACCACAGUAACCUGUUCAUGUAGAAGAGAAAUCAUUCAACAUGUAUAUGGAUAAUCUGUAUAGAUAACUAGCUUUUACGGUGAUAAUUAAUGAAGACUUGCAAGACCCCAGAAUAUUCUUAAAAUUGUCAAGAAAAGUUAAAAUAUUACGUAGUUUAGUAUUAUGCAUAUUCAUUAAUUCUUUGGAGUUUUAUUUAUUAAAGCCUACCACAUUGUAAAGGCCUGUAAAUUUUAGGCAUAAUAAGAUACGAGAUAACAUACCAAAAUCUCAGAGCAAAGGGAAAAUGAUGGUUUUGAAGAAAUGAAGAAGCACUAGAGCCUAGGGAAUCAGUCUUUAGAUGUGAGCCAUAAAUUAGAACCUGGCUUCCUAGUAGCCAGAGCAAAAGGGACAUGAUUCAGAUUGUAGAAUAAAACCACACCAGGGCGCCUUCCAUGCUGUUCCUCUGCUCUCACCCACAGGCAAGUUUGCCAGAGAAUUCUCUUAACUACCCUGACUUUUCGUCCUGACCUCCCAUUCACUCUCCCCCACCCAUUCUUAGGUUUUUUCCUUUCUUAUAUUUUCUGUUCAUCAAAAUAAUACAUCCUUGCAUAUUGAGUUAUUCAUUGAAAUUGCAUUGAACUAAAAUAAAUUUGGUGAGAAUUGACACCUAAACAAUACUGUCUUCUUUUGGUUGGUAUUUACGUGGUAUUACAUUUUCAACCCUUUUAUUUUCAACUUCUCUGUAUCAGAGUUGUUUCUUGUAAACAGCAUGUAGUUGGGUUUUUUCUUUAAUCUAGUUUGACAAUCUCUGCCUUUUAGCUGUUGUGUUUGGCCCAUUUAUAUUUAAUACAAUUACUGAUCUAUUUAUAUUGAAGCCUCUCUAUAUGUCCUUCCUAUUUUAUUUUCUUUUUCUCUCUUUCUUUCUUUCUUUUAGAUUAAUUAUUUUGUAUAAUUCAGUUUUUAUCUUUUUCUAGUUUAAAUGUUCUUUAUUCUUUCUUCUGUUCUGUUAAUACUGGGAAGAUUACAACAUGCAUCAUUAACUAAGGAAAGUCUGAUGUUUCUCAAACCUUUACCCCCUUCCCAGGACCAUUUAGUGGCCCCCAACUUACAUGCUGUUGUUGUUACACACUUUAAUUCCAUUUUCAAACCCCAUAAUGUCAGUGUUCAUUUAGAUCUAUCCACAUAUUUACUACUUUCCCUGCCCUUCACUCCUUGUAUCUCUGUUUGUCCAGCUGGGAUCAUCCUCCUUCUGCCUGAAAUCUUUAGAAUUUCCUUUAAAGUGGGGCUGUUGGUGAGGAAGUAGAUGAGUUUGUUUGAAAAUGUAUGCCUGAGGGGCACCUGGGUGGCUCAGUCGUGAGCCUUCGGCUUAGGUCAUGAUCCCGGGGUCCUGGGAUCGAGCCCUGCAUUGGGCUCCCUGCUCUGCGGGAAGCCUGCUUCUCCCUCUCCCACUCCCCCUGCUUGUGUUUCCUCUCUCGCUGUGUCUCUCUCUGUCAAAUAAAUAAAUAAAAUCUAAAAAAAAAAAGAAAAUGUAUGCCUGAUACCACCAUUUUAUUGGGAGAGCUGCAGGACCUCUACAUUUUAACGUGUAUACUUUCACUUCAUUACAUUAUUUCCGGCAUGGUAUCUGUUAUCCUCCCAUGCCAGAGUAUCUCUGUUUUAUCCUGUCAUUGAUUAAUGAAUCUUCCAGUCUUCUGUUGAGGUAAAGAAAGGGGAUCUAGGGAUACACCUACGUUUUAACUUUGCAAACAGGCCUUCUUUUUUACCUCCCAUUGAAGAGGUACAUGUGGGCACCAACAUCUGAGCUUUGGGGGGUUCUGCAGGGCAGAAUGUUUCUCUCAUUGCCAGUUUAGGGGCAACUUUCUUGGGUUUGCUAAAUUACACAACCGUAAGCCAUGGCCCUGUUACUUCUUUUCUGUCUGCCUUUUAGCGUCUGAAAUUUUUUUUGUGGUUGAAGGUUUGUGUCUUUAAAAAAUCCAGUAGGUCUUCAAAAGGGCAUGUAGGUAGGUGAAGGGGCUCAUAAGCUUCAUCAUUUGCUUACUGUCGCCAGUCAUCACCGUGUUGCCAGAAUCAGUGGUACUUUGUUGUUCUCGUCGUGUUAAAACUCAGUUCUAAAGAAUUAAUCACUUCCUCCUUAACAUAACUGCUUCUUUCUUGGCUUUCAUGAUAGUACCUUCUAUAGGUUUUCUUCAGGUCUUUCUGGAUCCUUCCUCUCUGAGUCCUUUGUUGCCUCCUCUUCUGCACAGCUCUUAAAUGUCGGAGCACUCCUGGACAUUGUGGAGCUCAGGAGUGCUCGCCUCACUCUGCAUCUUCUCCCUAAGGAAUCCCACCCAUUUAUUCUUUAAGUUCAUUCCGUGUUUGUUGAAUACCUUUUAUGUGCCAGACACUCUCUGGGCCCACAGAAUGACAGGGAAUCCUGUAAGAAGGCUAUGGCAGUCGUCCAGGCAAGAGGUGAUAGUGGCUUGGACCAGUCUGUUACCGUGGAGAUGGUGACAUGGACUUGUAUUGUGGGUAUCUCAUGGCUUUAAAGAUCUCUUUUCCUGUGGCUCCCAAAUUCAGUCUCUAGACAAAGCUCUCUUCUGCUUCUCAGACAAGUUUCUAACACCCUGUGUUAACAUUUGCUUGUAUGUCUUACCGACGCUCCAAACCUAGCAUGUCUAAAGCUGAACUAUUACUAUCCCCGUAAAACCAUCCCCUCUCUUUCUCAGUGCUUGGGGGAAUAUCUCCAUCCAUCCAGUUGCUCAGGUCAGAAAUCUGGUAGCCAUGCGUGAUGCUGUUUCUUUUUAUUCUCCUGCCUCUAAGGUGUCACCACAUCUUACUGAUUCUCUCUCUGGAACAUGUCCCAGGUCCAUCCACUUUCAUCCAUCUCCUUCCCACCACCCCGUGCAUACUCUCGUCACCCUGGCCUGGGUCAGCCGUAGCUUCCCAAUUCCUAUUCCCCUCCUUCCCUUGGGGUGUUCAGCAGAUAAGGAUUCCCCAUCCAUUCAGUGCGAUCUUUUAAAACCAGAACAGGAUCCUUCCUCUCUGUCUCUCUUGACUCUCCCUGCCCCCCACACCAUCUCUCACAAAUAUGCCCCAUUUACAGAAUCUCCAGGACUGCCCAUUGUGCGUAGAGUAACCCAGAGUCUCCAGCAUAUCCUGAAAGGCCCCGUAUGACCCUGCCCCUGCCUGCCUCCCAUUUUUAUCCAGAGCUGUUCCUUCCCUUCUGCAGCAUCCCCUAGACACACUUUCCUUUUUUGUUUCUCAGAUGAACCUAAUUGUCACCUCAGGCAGUCACCCACACUGACCUCUCACCUGAACUACCCUCCCCUGGUCCGGUCCUCCUCGUGCUGCCUGCCCAGCUCCCUCGGUCCCGUCCUCAGCCAAGUGUCCCUGGAGCCCGGGGAGGUCAGGUCACCCCUCCUAGAACCUGCUUUGUCAGCUUAUCACAGUCUGUCGUUAAAUAUUUGUGCAUUUACAUCUCGGUUACCCUGGGCCAAGUUCUCUGAGGGCAGGGACCAUUUUUGUUUUUCACCUCGGUAUAAUAUGCCACCAUCUGGCACAUAGUAAACAUCUAAUAAAUGCUUCCUGGGGGGUAGAUAAAUGAGUAAAACAGUGAACAGAUAGCAGCCCAGGGAGGGUGUGUGUGGUUUAUUGGUGGGAGUAGGGGUGGUUUGAAGCCCAAGAGAAAUCUCUCCCAUGGGUUCUGUGGUUCUUUUGUGAAUUAAGUAAGCUCGGUUCAGCAGUGAUAUUAUUCCAGAUUUGUUCGGUUUCACCCCUUCUUCUAAUUAACACCAGCCAAGUUUUAAUUGAACUUUGAUUUCAGUAUUUUGUGUCAAAAAGCAAUGUAUCUUUUGGAGUAUGCUUAGACCAGGAAUCAUGCUGAUGUUAACUGUCAGUUAAUAAAAAUCCCCCCACACUCCGAUCACUCUGGGUCAGCUGGUCAUGCCCACGUACUAUGUAAGCAUCCUCCUUGGGGUCGGGAUGAGGGCAUGUGACACCUGUGGGGGACAGGCCUCGUUCCCCAGGGGAAGUCUGCGGUUGGGACCCUGUGAGACGUCUCCUCCACUUUCUUGGCCACCCUUGGGGAUUAGGCACUUCAGGCUGGCUGUCCUGUCAGAGCAAACUAGGGCUGACCCCCACCCCCACAGGCUAGGAACCUAGGACCGAGGCUCCAUUUCUUAGAGGUCGAUUCUGGAGGCCAGCGGGGAUUUCCAGGUUCGGGGAAAAGACAACAUGUCGAAAGGGUGCUUAGCGGGGAAGGACUGCCCCCCACUCACUGCUGCUGCGCCAGGGGGCACAAGCCCAGCCGGGGUCCAGCUGUUCACUCGCCCGCUCGCUUGUGGGUCACCCACGGUAAUGACACGGUGGCAGAUGCCGUCGGAAAAUCCCAGCUCUUCUGCCACAGAGUCAAUUUCUUAUUUGUCCGUUCAUUGUGGCAAGUGGGAUUUUGUGUUGUUGUUUCCAAAUAGAAACCACUGAGCUUUAUUUGAAAUGUUUUUCUUUCAUUCUUUUUUGAUCUGUGUUUUCAUCAUUUGUCCUUGAUGUGGGUUUUUUUGUUUUGUUUUGUUUUUAUUGGAGGGGGAGGGGACAGGCACAGAAUGAGAGUCCAAACAGGAUUUUUUUUUAAUCUGUUCUUUUCUUUCUUCCCCUCCUUUCUCUCUUUUCCUUUUUAUUUUUUUAUGUUUUUUAUUUUCAGCAUGGAGACAUCUCAUUUGUAAAUUUUACUUGCGUAUAGAAAUGUAGCAGUUUACAGGAAUGAUAAGCAGACGGUGUUUUUCCCAGUGACCCUGUGUUGAGGAAGCGUGGCAUGUGGAAGGAGCAGUGGCCCUGGGGCCUGACACACCUAGGUUCUGCCUCUUGCUACCUUAUUUUCUUAGAGCAGUUUUAGGUUUGCAACAAAAUUGCGAAGGUGGUACAGAGAUUUCCGCCAUGUUCCUGUCCCCGCACGUGCACAGCCUCUUUCAUCAUCAGCGCUCCCCAGCAGAGUGGGACAUUGCUACAGUUGGUGACUGUCUACUGACAUAUCACUGUCACCCAUCAUCACAGUCCACCAUUUACAUGAGGACUCACUCUUGGGGUCGUGCAUUCUGGGAGUCUAGACAAAUGUGUAUGACGCGUGUCUACCGUUGUAACAUACAGAGCGUUCUCACUGCCCGCAAAACCAUCUGUUCUCUGCCUGUUCAUCCCUCUCCACAAACACUGAUCUUUUUUAUUGUCUUCAUAGUUGUAGCUCUUUCAGAAUGUCUUGUGAAAGUCGGAAUUACACAGUAUGAGGCCUUUCAGAUUGGCUUCUUUGACUUAGUGCUCCAGUAAGAGUCUUCAUGACUUCUCAGAGUUUGACAGCUCAUUGCUUUUUUAGGGCUGAAUAGUAUUCCAGUGUCUGGAUGGACCAGAGACUUGUUUUCCAAAAUUGCUUUCUCUAACAGUAUCUUUGCACCAUGGUCAUUCUGCACAUGUCCCCAGUGUCUCUACAGGAUACAGUAGAGCUUUAGUAAUUCUUUGCAUUUCAGGAUGCUUACAUCUACCGUAUAGACGAGACCAUAAAGAAAUGUCCGAAACGUCAGCCUAAACUUCACAUGUGCGACACUUUCCUUCAAACGCAGCCUCCUGUGGGGCUGCAGUCCGAUUCCAGAGAGCAAAGUUUACCAGUUACCAAGAGAUCCAUUGAUUGAUUGAUUGUAAUCUCUGUGCCCAGUGUGGGACUUGAACUUAUGACUCAAGAUUAAGAGUCUCAUGCUCUACUGAGUAAGCCAGUGAGGCACCCCAUGAAGAGAUUCUUUUGGUGCCUUGUAAUCUACUUCCCCUCUGUCCCCAAAUGUCAUUACCAAGAGGUGUCACUGGCAGAUCUCAUGUGACAAAGAGCCCUGGGGCAGUUGGUAGGGGCAGUUGGUAGGCGCAGCAGUCCCCGAGGAUGAGGGUCUGCCUUCGGAAGAGCUGCUGAAUUGAGAACCUACUCACCACAGGCACAUAAAGGGUCUCUAGUUCCUGAUGCAUGACCUAUGCUUAAGAAGUAGUAGUAGUAUUUAGCUUUAUGUAUUUUCUUACAAAGUUAAUUAUUUGCCAGUUUUUCUUUCUGCAUUCCCUUUCUUUAUUAAAAAGAGCAAUGACUUUUGAGUGUGUUUAGGAUGUUAAUAAAUGAUUUUUUUAAAAUUGGUGGACUUAAAAUAACAUUGCUACACAGACCGUGUAUUUUGUAAAACACUUGGGGAGAGAUUGGGUUGCCGAAGCUUGGCAGAGAGAAACGUGUUCCAGGUAUUCCUGACUAAUGUCAGUAUUUUUGCCUAAAAUGACCUCAGUCAAAUUUAGCAGUGACAGACAAGGGUCUGGUCAAAACAUCGGUGUGCCACAGUCAGUCCAGCACUGUUAAGUAGUAAUUCCCUGGCUCUUUUGUUUUGAGAGCCUCAGUCUUAGCAGGAAGUGUUGUGCUCUCUGUGCCACUUACUUUUCUAGAACCAUCAGAUUAAAAAAAAGAAAAAAUGAAAACCAAACAAAGCCUAUUGGGUGAGUGUUUGAGUCUCUGAAGGAACGAGCUCGGUGAGCAGCUAGUCCUUGUUGACUCCGUGAAGGAAGCUGUGUGCUGAGCCCCUGCUUGGAGGCUGAUGGGAAAUGUAUGUCCAGAUGCCACUUUCCAGGCGGUACCAGCGGGUGGGACGGAAGAGAGCCGCACCAGGGGCCCUGCAUCCCGAGCCUCUUGGUGUCUUCCUGCAAACCACCUGUAGGAAAUACAGGGCCUGCUUCCUGCGCGGAGUUGACUGCCUCACAGGAGUGAGGCAUGCUGGCCUGGCGACAGGGAAAGGGAGGCCUCCUUUUGCUCAGGCUUUCUUAGUCCGUGGUUUUGUGGACCUACAUUCACUCCUUCACUUGGACACUGGCACAGAUCCGGAAAACAUAAAAAGAAAGCUAACUUUCAGAUAUCCCCUUUCCCACUCUUACCGGCCUCUGGUCUGCUGCAUAUCCCUUCUGAGGCAGAGGUGAAGUGCUUUUGGCCCCGGGGCAGCAGGCGUUGUGCUGUGGGUCGUGAGCCCUGGCCACCCCGAGAAAUCCGCCUGCUCCCAGCCCAACAAGGCCCGUUGGUUUCUGCGAGCUGCCAGGAAAGGCUGUUUGAGGAGUGGACAGACCUUUUCUUCAGGGUUAACUGAGUACAACUGAAAACAGGCCCCAUGCUGGGAAGAAGCCUCAUGGGUGGACGGAAGCCAGGCAAAAGCAAAAAUAGGAGGUGGAUUGCAGUUUGACAACAAGGACCCAACCGUGCACUUGACAUUUUUCACAUGACCACGACGAGCCUUACUUUUACAAGAGAUACUUGUCUUCGUGUUUGGUUCAUGGCCUAAUUUUUCAUUCUUCUAGAAGCUCACAAAAUGAUGACUUUGUCAGAUGCAGAUAAAGAUCUCUACGCUUUCUGGGUAAGGAUAGGAAAA